GACGGAGGGUGCAAACGUUGUUCGGAAUCACUGGGCAUAAAGCGCACGUAGGCGGUCCGCUAAGUCAGUUGUGAAAUCCCUCGGCUCAACCGAGGAACUGCACCUGAUACUGGCGGGCUCGAGGACGGUAGGGGUGAGUGGAACUCCAGGUGGAGCGGUGAAAUGCGUAGAUAUCUGGAGGAACACCGGUGGCGAAGGCGGCUCACUGGACCGUGUCUGACGCUGAGGUGCGAAAGCUAGGGUAGCAAACGGG
rnacentral:rRNA from 1 species